AAAUGCGAUAAGUAGUGUGAAUUGCAGAAUUCAGUGAAUCAUCGAAUCUUUGAACGCACAUUGUGCCCCUUGGUAUUCCAUGGGGCAUGCCUGUUCGAGCGUCAUUUGUACCCUCAAGCUCUGCUUGGUGUUGGGUGUUUGUCCCCGUCUCCGCGCGUGGACUCGCCCCAAAGUGAUUGGCAGCCGGCGUACUGGUCCCGGAGCGCAGCACAUGUCGCGCAAACGAGUGCCUUGGUACGGCGGCGUCCAUAAGCCCCUCUCUCACGCUCUUGACCUCGGAUCAGGUAGGGAUACCCGCUGAACUUAAGC
rnacentral:misc_RNA from 1 species